rnacentral:rRNA from 1 species
AACGAACGCUGGCGGCAUGCCUAACACAUGCAAGUCGAACGAGAUCUUCGGAUCUAGUGGCGCACGGGUGCGUAACACGUGGGAAUCUGCCCUUGGGUUCGGAAUAACUCUCCGAAAGGAGUGCUAAUACCGGAUGAUGUCGAAAGACCAAAGAUUUAUCGCCCAGGGAUGAGCCCGCGUAGGAUUAGCUAGUUGGUGGGGUAAAGGCCUACCAAGGCGACGAUCCUUAGCUGGUCUGAGAGGAUGAUCAGCCACACUGGGACUGAGACACGGCCCAGACUCCUACGGGAGGCAGCAGUGGGGAAUAUUGGACAAUGGGCGAAAGCCUGAUCCAGCAAUGCCGCGUGAGUGAUGAAGGCCUUAGGGUUGUAAAGCUCUUUUACCCGGGAUGAUAAUGACAGUACCGGGAGAAUAAGCCCCGGCUAACUCCGUGCCAGCCGCCGCGGUAAUAC